rnacentral:rRNA from 1 species
AAAGAUUAAGCCAUGCAUGUCUAAGUAUAAGCAAUUAUACAGCGAAACUGCGAAUGGCUCAUUAUAUAAGUUAUCGUUUAUUUGAUAGUACCUUACUACUUGGAUAACCGUGGUAAUUCUAGAGCUAAUACAUGCUAAAAAUCCCGACUUCGGAAGGGAUGUAUUUAUUAGAUUAAAAACCAAUGCCCUCCGGGGCUCACUGGUGAUUCAUGAUAACUCCUCGAAUCGCAUGGCCUUGUGCCGGCGAUGGUUCAUUCAAAUUUCUUCCCUAUCAACUUUCGAUGUUUGGGUAUUGGCCAAACAUGGUUGCAACGGGUAACGGAGGGUUAGGGCUCGACCCCGGAGAAGGAGCCUGAGAAACGGCUACUACAUCCAAGGAAGGCAGCAGGCGCGCAAAUUACCCAAUCCCGACACGGGGAGGUAGUGACAAUAAAUACUGAUACAGGGCUCUUUUGGGUCUUGUAAUUGGAAUGAGUACAAUUUAAAUCCCUUAACGAGGAACAAUUGGAGGGCAAGUC